AGUAAACACUACAAAAUCUAUACAUUUUUUAAUUAUAUUUUUUGGGAAGGAAUAAAAGUAAGAAUAGAGCGGACUUGUAUUGGUAUUAUUAAUUGGAAUACAUGAAGUUUGUCUCGAGUCCGGAGUUAAUAUCCAGGAAAGAAAAGUGAAGUUGACUGCUGAUUGCAACUUUGGGCGGGUUGAAAAUUCUGCCAUCAUGAUGAAUUCAAGACGUCGUGGAUACAAUCCUUGAGGUUCGACUCGGGGCUGAAUAGUUGGCUGAAUGGGUGACUGAAUGGGCGUAUGAUUUGCUUCGCCUCGUGUUUUACCUUGCCCGGUUUGCCCUCAUGCUCUGCCUCGUGCGGGUUGCGGUUGUCCAAUAGGACGGGUUGGUUCAUUGCGUACUCUUCCUCGCCCAAAGUUCAUUGUUAAAGGUGUGUGUGUUUUCUAGAUUUUUUGAAUUUUUUUGUUGUGUUUUUGGAAUGAGAAGGUGAGAAUAUUUAUAGGUGGAAAAGUAGAAAUUUAAAAACUAAUUGUUACUAUUUCAAACUACCCGUUAUUAUUCAAAUUCUGUAUUUAUUUUUAUAUUUAUUUA